CCUACGGGAGGCAGCAGUGGGGAAUAUUGGACAAUGGGCGAAAGCCUGAUCCAGCAAUGCCGCGUGAGUGAUGAAGGCCUUAGGGUUGUAAAGCUCUUUUACCAGGGAUGAUAAUGACAGUACCUGGAGAAUAAGCUCCGGCUAACUCCGUGCCAGCAGCCGCGGUAAUACGGAGGGAGCUAGCGUUGUUCGGAAUUACUGGGCGUAAAGCGUACGUAGGCGGUUAUUCAAGUCAGAGGUGAAAGCCUGGAGCUCAACUCCAGAACUGCCUUUGAAACUAGAUAGCUAGAAUCUUGGAGAGGUGAGUGGAAUUCCGAGUGUAGAGGUGAAAUUCGUAGAUAUUCGGAAGAACACCAGUGGCGAAGGCGACUCACUGGACAAGUAUUGACGCUGAGGUACGAAAGCGUGGGGAGCAAACAGGAUUAGAUACCCUGGUAGUCCACGCCGUAAACGAUGAUAACUAGCUGUUCGGGUCUCUACGAGCUUGAGUGGCGCAGCUAACGCAUUAAGUUAUCCGCCUGGGGAGUACGGUCGCAGAUUAAAACUCAAAGGAAUUGACGG
rnacentral:rRNA from 1 species